rnacentral:lncRNA from 1 species
AGAGGCCAUCCGGGAAAUUGUGAGCCGAGCGCAUGCAAAGUUCUAAGCACUCAACGCAAAGAAAGGCACUGUACAUCUUGCACCGGACUCAGGUUUACUGCUAUUCUGUCAUUCUCUCGGCCACGCCGUUUUCCCUCCACUGGUUGCGGAGCGUCAACGUGUCGUGUAGUCACUUCCACGGCAGCGGCUGCAUGCUUUUUUUAGCCUGCCAUGAACCUGCUCGACACCCACAGCUCAAGAAUCUCGUCUCGUUUCCCGUAGAGAGCCUUUUCAGUUGCCCCUCCAAGCACCUCUUGCUCGGGAACAUCUUGCCGACACCGUUCACAGUUGCUUCGCCGCUGCAACGGCCGUUGUCGAGCGACACCGGUCAGCAGCCUUGUGCCGGUCAGGAAACGAAGCACGACCGUAGUUCCGUUGUAUAAAUAUAUAUUGAAUGUCACGGACGAUGGCCUCUCUGUGUGAGAAAAUGAGUUACGGAUUAAGAAGGUUGGGGUCGUUUUUCCUUCCGCCGCCGCCAGGCGCCUAGCGCUGGCAUCGGCGGCGGGGCCACCAAGAGCGCCGGAGUGUGCUGCGGUGUGGAGCUCAAACCGCAACAAGGCCGAAACUGGGUUCUUUUGCCCACUGAAUCAGUCCCACGGACUCUUGGUGGCAAGGGGGACGGGGACUGGCGGGGGGGGGGGGGGGGUGAAGGCAUUGUUUCCCAGUUUUAGUUGUGUUGUGAGGCUCUGCGAUCUCGUCUUAAAACGUUUUGUUCUCUCGCUCUCGCUGUCCGACACUCUAGCUUUGAGUUAAGACACCCUCCGAUCCUUCUUCAGCCUUUAUAUGCACUUCGUUCAGACCGCAGUGAACUCAAGAAUUGCACAGCUUGUCGCUCUACAUGGUUCCGGCCAGCUUAUAUGUCAUGGUGUCUAAAUCGGAUCAUAUCGACUAGAGAAGCAUACAUCGUAGUGACAAUAUAAAAACACCACUCAGGAGUCCGCGCGCUCACGACGUCCUUGACGCCUCUCUGAUGAACGGCCGACCUCCCUUUCCAGUACGUUAUUUUCCGCUCAUGUCUGAUCCACGCUCAUGCUUCAAAAAUCAAUUCAGUAACCUGCGAGAGGGAUGCACAGGGGAUGGGUUCCGCUGCAGCCGUUCUUCAAGGGCCGCUGAUUUUUUGAGUAGAGAUCAGCAGUCGCUGCUGUCAAGCACUCAUGUCUCUCCGCGCGCUAAAAGCCUUAGAGAAUCCGCUGAACGCGAACCGUUCGACAGGGGCACGACGGAAGCGGUGACGCGUACUAUGGCUGCAUUCCCGCGCAUAACUCCCUAGUUAGGUAGCCCCAGCCUAUCCGACUGCGUGAGCGGCAGAGGAAGCAAACGGAAUUGGGUACGGCGCUACGAACCUUCCUUUUGCUGUAUUUACCUUGUGGCUCCUCUUGUAUGGUUCAACCAUCAACGUGCACGUGAAGGAGGGGUUCGUGGGAGCAGCCGUUUAGUGCCACAUUUCGCCUGCCUCUACCUGGAUGCCAGCAUUCGCUCCGUGUCACGUCAUGCCGACAGAGGAAGUGAUCACGUGCGAUCAAGUGUCUCUGAUGUGCCGACGAGGAGAGGCUGUACACGGGCAACCCCCUGGACUCCUCGAGGCAGCUAAAAGUGUUGGAUUUCAAUACCCUAUGACAUUAAGGUAUUCAACAUCGGUUAUGUUCCAGGAGAACGAUAUGGAUUACUGUUGUCACUCGUAUUCACAGCGAGAGAAAACUAUUGAGACUCGAGUAUGGUCAGUUCCACAGUAUUUUGGAAGUGAGAAUCCGGAGACAGGUUUAUUUGUAAGCUCUUUCUGGGGGGCUUUUUCAAGGAUUUAAACUUAAAUAUCAUUAUGUUAUGGGUUCAAUCGCAAACCAUUGAGAUUACGAACUUACGGUUUGGGUGCGCGAGUGCCUGGAUGCCUGGUGACUUAUAUUAAAAUCCUUAUUAAAGGGAGCACAGUU